rnacentral:rRNA from 1 species
CAUGAGCAAAAUCUCAACUUUAUUAGAAGAGACGCAUUUAUUAGAUAAAAAGCCAGUUCAUGCUUUUACAGUAUGAAAAUUGGUGAUUUAUAAUAACUUAGCAAAUCGCAAAGUGAAAACAGGCGAUAAAUCAUUCAAGUUUCUGACCUAUCAGCUUUCGACGGUAUGGUAUUGGCUUACCGUGGCAGUGACGGUUAACGGGGGAUUAGGGUUCGAUUCCGGAGAGGGAGCCUGAGAAACGGCUACCACAUCUAAGGAAGGCAGCAGGCGCGCAAAUUACCCAAUUCUAACAGUUUGAGAGAGGUAGUAACAAGAAAUAACAAUACAAGGCAGUUAAAAUGCUUUGUAAUUGGAAUGAUAGAAAUUUAAACCCUUUUUAAAGUAUCAAUUGGAGGGCAAGUCUGGUGCCAGCAGCCGCGGUAAUUCCAGCUCCAAUAGCGUAUAUUAAAAUUGUUGCAGUUAAAAAGCUCGUAGUUGAAGUUCUGCUGAAAGUAACCGGUCUGCUUUUAAUAAAAGUGGUAUCUUGGUAUGUAUUUAGCAAUGAUGUCCUUUGAAGUGUUUUUUACUUUAUUGUAAUAAAGCAUAUUCAGGACUUUUACUUUGAGAAAAUUAGAGUGUUUCUAGCAGGCUGACGCUUUGAAUACUGCAGCAUGGAAUAAUAAGA